ACUUUCCUCGUGUUGUUAAUUUCAGUAUGUUUCACGUUCUUUGACUACAAAAACUGAUAACUUCUCAUUACUCCGCUUUGGAAUAAAGUGAUACCUGAACUGAUAGGAUUCUGCUGUUGUAUGUGGACGACAAAUAUAACGAUCGUGAUUAAAUUGGAAGUUUUAAAUCGGAAACUCAGUGGAUUUCCAACCUCCAAGUCGUUUAAUAGCUGAAAAAUCUGCACCGCUGUCUGAAAGAGCCGAGGGAGAAGAAUGCAGGAAACAAUGUCCCGUAUAUAGAUGCGGCUGCUGCAAUUUUAAAGAAGCGGCUUCUUCGAAAAAGUAUUUACACUAAUUGGCUGCGUAAAAAAUAUACCAUUUUUAUAGAAAAGUAUGUUAUUCGCAUGCUAUGGUAAAUAUCCUGUUUGUGUGUAUUUUAUAUGCUUCAACUAGAUAUUUUGACCCUAAAUCUUUUCAACUAUUGAAAUUUCAACUUUUAUCUUUGUUACAAAAAACAGAUUGUCAGAAGCAUCAGAAAUAAAUGAUUGUAUAUGUUCUUUGUCGAGAACUUUCGACUUCUUAUAUAUUGUUGUUUUUUCCUCUUGAUAACCACUAUUAAUCCAUUAAAUUUGUUUAUGCUGUUAUUUUUUAAAUUCAGUGUCGAUUUAAGCAUUGAGUAUUUUGGUCAUAAACUAGCAAUUAGGCUAUUCAUUAAAUAAUACUUUACUUGUUUCUUAUUGCACCAAGAUAUAAAUACAGCAUACGUUUUUUUUAUACGGACUUCUGAUUUUUUCGUUAAUAAACUUUUCUCCUGUGCUUGAUUUAAAUUGAUUUUGGGACUAAUAAAUGUUGUCAAGAAUAGCCUAGGAAAUAAAGAACUUUUUAAUAGACUAAGACAUGCAGAAAAAACAGAUUAAUAAUUUGUACGGAAUGUGAAUUUAGUGGAGUAACAAACGUUUAUCUAUAAUUAUCAUCACCACACCAAACUUUUAGUGGCAUCAAGUGUAAGUUGGUAUUUCUGGAACCGUUGGUUAUAUUCAUACUGAAUACAGUGUUUACACGUUUCGAUAACCAAGUUAUCGUCUUCAGAGACUGAAGGAAAACUGAUAAACGCGUGUCAGACAGUGUAAUUGUGAAUGUUGGUGUAGUGAUGAUGUAAACAGUGUAUUCGAUUUUGAUUUCGAAUUUGAUGAUUUUAUUUUUCUAAAAUAAUGGAAAUUGCGCUAAAGGGGUAAAACGGAGACCACACUACUCGUGAAAGAUAUAGCUGAAAGUAUCUCUAAAUAAAAUCCUGAAAAUUGAAUAUAUUUACUAAGCUUAGGAGCCAUUUUCUUGGUGAAGUGAACGAAUUCUUUGCCAGCUAUAUUAUGAAUGGUUUCUUAUUGGGAACGUGGCAAUGAAAUACCAAAGUGAACUAACUUUAAUAUAUUUUCUGAGCUUUCGAAUACUCAUGUAUUCAUUAUCUGGUCAAAUAAAAUAUAAGAAAUAUAUAUAAAUGUGUAACAAUAUUGUAAGUAAAAGUUUAUUACUGUUAUACAUUUAUUUACGCAAGAAACCGCUGACACUGACAAUUUGCUUAUUUAUAUUGAUCUAUAGAUCACCUUUAUCAUGAAUAUCAAAAUAAAGAUAAAAUCAACUUAGAACUUUGUUCUAAUAAGAAAAAUUGAUUUUUCCUUGGUCCCUAAAUCUCAAAUAUAUAGUAGUAAUCAAUUAAAUUAUUUGUAGUUUUAAUAGAAUUUACAAAAUAGAGCUAUAAAUUUUACUUAAAUUAUAUAAAUCUUUUUUAUCAUUUAUAGCUUUUUCGUUCUUAUGAAUGUGAACCAUUUCUAAAAAUUUACUUUUACGUGUAUUAGAUUCCGUUUCAAGAAUUUUUAAUCUUAAUAAUUGAAUUUGUUUUUUUGAUAUUUUAUGGUUCUUUAAUGAAGUUCAAUUUUUUUAUCGUAUUAAUGACCUCUUACUCUAUUUUCUAAGUACUGAGAUGUUUGCCCUAUAUAGACAACGUCACAAUUAGUACAAGGCACUUGAUAUAUAAUAUUACUUCUUUUGUUUUUUGGUGUUUUUUUUUAGUGAAAUAUUUGGAUAAUGUAUCUCCUUCAUGACUUAUACUAAUAUCAUAUUUAUUGAAAUAAUUCGAUAAUUCUGGGAAAGUCCUUGUACAUAUGGUAAUGAAAAAUGUUUUAUGUUUUGAUGUUUCGUUUCUGUUUUGUUUUUAAAUUGAUUGUAGUAUCUGUUUCUCCUUUUCCUGAAUAUGUUAUUUAUCAUUUUUUCCGGAUAAUUAUUUUCUUUCAAUGCAGUUUUUGCUUUUUGCAAAGCAGCUAAGCAUCUAAAUUCAGGAUCUGAUAGUUGGAAGUUACAUUAUGUUCAAAUAGAGACGUUGCCUAAUUCAGAGAAUAUAAAUUUUGUAUAGAUUCACUAUCGGUGAUGGAAAUAACUUCAUCAUCGUUUAAAAUCAUAUUUGAAGGUGAAUUGACAAUAGUUUUCUAUUCUAAUCGUGACACAAACAAAAGAUUCGAUGUAUGCAUAUUCGAAAUGUGGUAUUUAUAUUUCAAUACUAUAUAAAAUGCACACAAACAAUGAAAUCAAUAUUUGUAUGAUAAUCUGGUAGCCUAAGAGCACUGUGAUCAAAAUUUUGUCUACCUAAUGUAUAAAAACUUAGAUUCAGGUAUUUUUGUAUUGUUAUACAAGUCAAAUUUUAUCUUAUCAUUUGAACACAAAAAUACUACUCCGUGCUAAAUUUUAAAUAAGUUUUGUCUCCAACUAUCUGAAAACUGAACAUGAAAUGUCUUUUUAUAAGAUGUGAUCUAAACGAACACUUGAUCAAGACUAAUACGCUGUUAUAUCUCACUAUAAGCUGAUCAUACUUUAGGCUUCACUCUACCCUCCAAGGGAUUACUUUUAUACUUCCAUGAUAUAUGACAUCAAUAAUACAAAUAUUUUUUAAAAUGUUCACUGGACCUGUUGUUUUUAUUAUCGGUUUAUGUUGACUGUUACUUACGUCAGAGUACAGAUCAAUUUUAUCCACUGUAUAUUUGUUAUGCUGAUAGGUUAUUACAAAAUAUUAUUUAAAAAUUCAAAUAAAUCUCAUUAAAUUUAUGUUAGUCGGCAUCAUAGCAACGUUAUGUAUGUAAAUAAAAACUCUUAGGUGAAUAAAAUUAUUUCUUGGAAUUCAAUAUA